rnacentral:tRNA from 1 species
GCUGGCAUCGUCCAAGAGUGAGGACCUCAGUCUUCCAAACUGAUGAUGAGGGUGCGAAUCCCUCUGCCCGCUCCA